AGCCCGCUCAGAAACUUAAAUGAAUUGACGGGGGCCCGCACAAGCGGUGGAGCAUGUGGUUUAAUUCGAUGAUACGCGAGGAACCUUACCUGGGCUCAAAUGUAUGUUGACGUAUUCUGAAAGGGAUACUUCUUCGGACAAUAUACAAGGUGCUGCAUGGUUGUCGUCAGCUCGUGCCGUGAGGUGUCGGGUUAAGUCCCAUAACGAGCGCAACCCCUAUCAUUAGUUGCCAUCAGGUCAAGCUGGGGACUCUAAUGAAACUGCCUACGCAAGUAGUGAGGAAGGUGGGGAUGACGUCAAAUCAGCACGGCCCUUACGUCCAGGGCUACACACGUGCUACAAUGGCCGGUACAAAGGGCAGCUACCUGGUGACAGGAUGCUAAUCUCAAAAGCCGGUCUCAGUUCGGAUCGGAGUCUGCAACCCGACUCCGUGGAGCUGGAAUCGCUAGUAAUCGCGCAUCAGCCAUGGCGCGGUGAAUACGUUCCCGGGCCUU
rnacentral:rRNA from 1 species